GUGGAAAGCUGAAUGAUCGCAUCGUAAAGAUGAGGAAAGUCCGGACUCCAAGGAGAAGUGGUGCCGGGUAAUGUCCGGCCAGGGUAACCUGAGGGAAAGCGCAACAGAAAGGAUACCGCUCAAUUUGAGUAAGGGUGAAAUGGUAAGGUAAGAGCUUACCGCCUGCUUGGCAACAAGGAGGGCACUGCAAGCCCCACCAGGAGAAAGACCAAAUAGGAACCGAUAUUGAAUCUGAGUGUUUAAUAUCUCCUAAAUUACGGUUCGGGUAGGUCGUUUGAUCCAGUUGGCAACUACUGGGCUAGAUGAAUGAUCAUUGAGCUUAAAUGCUUACAAAAUCCGGCUUACAAGCUUUCCACAGUU
rnacentral:RNase_P_RNA from 1 species